CCUAUCACCUUCAGCUAUCUGACACUCUUGACAGAUUGACUCUCCUCAACCAAAAUCAUGGCAGCCUCCUCACUGUCUCUCUCUCCAAACCCUACUACCUUCACCACCUCACCCAAACCCUCUUUCUCUCCUUCUUAUCACACUACUCGUUUUAUCAAAUUUCCCAACACAUCCCAAACCCCAACCCACCUCAUUGUCAAUCCCCUCACCACGCAUUCCCCACGCGCUUCCCUCUCCUCCAUCAUCCCACGCGCCGCCGCCACCCCCUCCUCCUCCACCACCUCAACCGCCCAAACAUCAUUCCACGGCCUCUGCUACGUCGUCGGCGACAACAUCGACACCGACCAAAUCAUCCCCGCCGAGUACCUCACCUUGGUCCCCUCUAACCCCGCCGAGUACGAGAAGCUCGGCUCAUACGCCCUAAUCGGCCUCCCUUCCUCUUACACCACGCGGUUCGUUGAACCAAACGAGAACAAAAGCAAAUACUCCAUCGUGAUCGGCGGCUACAACUUCGGCUGCGGCUCGUCUCGUGAGCACGCGCCCGUGGCUCUAGGCGCUGCUGGAGUGUCGGCGGUGGUGGCGGAGUCGUAUGCACGUAUAUUCUUCAGGAACUCUGUGGCGACGGGAGAGGUGUACCCUCUGGAAUCGGAGGGGAGAAUAUGUGAGGAGUGUAAGACUGGUGACACUAUCACCAUUGAGCUCGCGGAGAGCCGUCUGAUCAAUCACACGACUGGGAAGGAGUACAAGCUGAAGCCCAUUGGGGAUGCUGGGCCCGUCAUCGAGGCCGGUGGCAUUUUCGCUUAUGCGAGGAACACUGGCAUGAUUCCCACUAAGUAAUUCACCCUAGAAUUUCAGGAGCAACGACAGAAUCUUUGUUGGGUAAGUGAAUGAGGGGGAGACUUUGGUAGGAAGAUGUAGUAUCUGGGUGACUGCUAAAGCAGGGCAUGUGAGUUUGAGAGCUUUUAUAGGAGGUGCAUUGCAGGAGGCUUUCGGUUGUACGGAUGCUUAUGGAUCCUUUCUUCCAGAUGUUUCAGAUGAAAAGUUUCUGUGUUCCCAUGUUUCUCUCUAUAAUAAAAUGCCAUUGUCAUAUUUAUCAAAAGAAUGAAGGAUUGUUGUCACUGAAACAUUGCCAUCUCUUCACGUUGUAAUGCCUGUUUUCAGUAGGACUUGCAGUUAAUGUGUGUUGUAACUUAUCUUCAGAGAUUAGUGUUGAUUUAAAUUUGGUGUAUCAACUUAGAAGCUUGUUUCCCUGAACACUUUUUGAUCUCCUGCAAGAAAGGCACCAAGGAAUCUUUGCAUGUGAGAUUUUGGUUGCUCCAAUUUCGUUAUUUAUCAUUGUGCACUAUGCAAUUUCAAAUUUCAA